AUUUCAAAAGACAUUUCAGCCUUUUGAGAUGGGUUGCUGGUAGUUUUUUUUCCUUUCCUUGGAGCCCUCCUAAUGCUCUGGAGCUCUUCCUCACUUUUCUUUAGUAAAUCCACAUUCUCUUUGCUGAAACCAAUGACAAGGUCUUCCUCUCCCUCUCUACUGGUCCAUGUUUACCCAGCACUCAAAGAACACGCCGGCUGCAGUAGUUGGCUCAGAGAAUGGAAGAUCUACAAAGGCCAGGACUGCCCUUAAACUUGGUAUGCGGGUGAGGAUGACCUUGCGCUUGCAUCCGUGUCUGCCUCCGCCGUCCUGGGAUUUCAGUGGUGCAUCUCUGCAUUGGGCUGUUUUGGCAAGGGCAGGUGUGUGUGGGUUGGGGGUUUAUUAGGAGAAAGACGGUGGGUGUGGCUUCUCCUGGGCGCACACUGCCUCACCUUUGCAGACUUCUCCUUCUUGUACCACCCCAUCUGCCUGCUGGCUUGUUUUCACCCUUUCUGGAGUUUUCUGACAGUUUUCAUGACUGAUGGAGUCAUCUGGAAUGAAUGACUCAGGACGGACUGUUUGCUGGUGAUUCACGCCCACACCUCGGAUGCUGGUAAUUGACCUGCUUCCCUUUACCUCAGACAAGCUGAUACCACAUAGACAGAGGCUGCGGAAAGAUGAUGAAGGUUGUCACCCCCAAACAACAGCUCAAAACAAUUUCAUUUAGUUGUGACCCCUUGGUCUUCUCAGGGCGUUUCCUUUGGCUUCAAGAGAGAGACCCAGUCAAUACAAUUGCU